AGAACGAACGCUGGCGGCAGGCUUAACACAUGCAAGUCGAACGCCCCGCAAGGGGAGUGGCAGACGGGUGAGUAACACGUGGGAACAUACCCUUCGGUUCGGAACAACGUUUGGAAACGAACGCUAAUACCGGAUACGGCCUCUGGGCGAAAGAUUCAUCGCCGAAGGAUUGGCCCGCGUUCGAUUAGCUUGAUGGUGAGGUAACGGCUCACCAUGGCGACGAUCGAUAGCU
rnacentral:rRNA from 1 species